AGCAUAGCGAUUUGGGAUAAGUCCCUUGGAAAAGGGCAGCAUGGAGGGUGAUACUCCCGUCUCUGCUCGGAUUGUCUGUGUGUACGAUACGCUUUCUUUGAGUCGAGUUGUUUGGGAAUACAGCUCAAAGUAGGUGGUAAAUUCCAUCUAAAGCUAAAUAUUGGUGCGAGACCGAUAGCGAACAAGUACCGUGAGGGAAAGAUGAAAAGAACUUUGAAAAGAGAGUUAAAGAGUACCUGAAACUGUUGAAAGGGAACCGUAUCGUUUCCAGUGUUUUAUCCUGUGCAUAUUUCAUUAGCGGAGCAAUUUGCUGGUGCCCUGUGCAUGGGUGUGACGUCAGAGUCACUUUGUAUGCUGCGGGAGAUGGUCAGUGAGGAGGUGCGUCACUUCGGUGAAAGUUAUAUCUCGCUGUCUAGUAGCCGUGGUUGAGACUGAGGUGCC
rnacentral:rRNA from 2 species